CAAAAUAGCCCUGCGUUAAACUAAAGAAAUGUACGAGGAUCGCUUAUCUUUUAGUGUCGGUGGACGCGAUGCUUAUCUUCUUAUUGAUAGCGUACAUAUCACAAUCAGUACUCCUGUCAUUUCUUCUUACCCAGUUCUGACUUCAACGUUUAUGAGACGGCAACUCAUAGCAGACAGGACAUGAUUUAUGCUUGUUUCAUCUCGAUUUCAUCUUAAGUAUUGGUUAGUUGAAAGCCUCAGUUGGUUGUAUGCCGCUUCAUAAGGUGAUAUCUCGUAAUCCUCUACCAUCACAAAAAUUGACACUUCAAAUAAAAACUGGAAGUUGAGGUAAAUGAGAUAAGCAUCAGGUAAUCAACUAUGAUACACUUAAUCCAAAACUUAUUCUACUAACCAUUUUCCAUUCUAGUUUUUCUCGGUACAAAUUAGAUUUCCUUGGAUGACAAGAAUGCAUGUGGAAACUAAAGGUCACGCAUUUUUAUAUGAUUUCAUAGUCUUUUUUUUCCUAUUUGUUUCUCAUAAUGCAAAUAUAAAUCACAUGGAUUUUGACAUUAGAUUAGUAUAAGAUGUUAGAAAACAAACAGCUAUUCAACAUGAUAUCUAUAUCAAGCAUAUGUUCCGUACUAUUCGAUUACUUGGUUCACCUUUCCGAUAGCUUCCAAGUUUUGAAUCAUGAACGAAAAAUGCAAAGGAGAGAUACUUUUGAACCUGGUUUGCUGACGACGUCGUUCCGAAUGAUUCUUGAUGACUUCUUCACACCACGAGAUGACUGCCAACAAAUAUUCGACAUUGCUUGUUUCUCCAUUUUGCCAUCAAGAGGCGACCUUCCCAGAGUCGAUUUCGUCCGUUACAAAAAUGGGAUUUGUUUUGUUAAAUUGUAAUUCCUUUUAUCGAAGCAGAUUGCUCGACAAAAUAAAGAAGUGUCAAACCACCUAGUAUAUUGAGUUGUGUUAGUGUGUCGAAGUGUCAAAGCAUGUUGUUUUACACAGGAUUUCGACUUAUGCUUAUUUUAGUAGUGUUAGUU
rnacentral:lncRNA from 1 species